rnacentral:rRNA from 1 species
AACGAACGCUGGCGGCAGGCUUAACACAUGCAAGUCGAACGGGCACCUUCGGGUGUCAGUGGCAGACGGGUGAGUAACGCGUGGGAACGUACCCUUCGGUUCGGAAUAACCCAGGGAAACUUGGGCUAAUACCGGAUACGUCCGUAAGGAGAAAGAUUUAUUGUCGAAGGAUCGGCCCGCGUCGGAUUAGCUAGUUGGUGGGGUAAUGGCCCACCAAGGCGACGAUCCGUAGCUGGUCUGAGAGGANGAUCAGCCACACUGGGACUGAGACACGGCCCAGACUCCUACGGGAGGCAGCAGUGGGGAAUAUUGGACAAUGGGCGAAAGCCUGAUCCAGCCAUGCCGCGUGAGUGAAGAAGGCCUUAGGGUUGUAAAGCUCUUUCAGCGGGAAGAUAAUGACGGUACCCGCAAGAAGAAGUCCCGGCUAACUUCGUGCCAGCAGCCGCCG